CGACUUCAUCCUCUGUACACAGCUGCAGUCUGAAAUGCUCCACUCGUGCUGAGUGCUGCUUGAGGUGCGCUUUAUGUGAGUCACAGCUACACAAUACCUGUUCUACAAAGCAAACCACCACUACAUUUUAAAUGGUUACUUAAUUAAAAGAUAAUCAAGAGCAUUUUUUCACGAAGCAGCAUAACAAAAAGACUGAAUGUUGUAGAGGGUUUCAGACAGAGAGUACAGCUUAAAAACGGUCUCUUAAAGUCCCAGAACAUACUGUACCUCAGUAAUCUUUUAAAAUGUUCUAAUAGCAAGUGGCGCCUGCUGAUCUGUCUGACAUUAUGACUAGUUAAAUAUGCGAGAAAAAAUCCAGAUUUGAUAAAUCUAUCCAUCUGUCAUACAAAAAGCAGUUCUGCUGACGCUUUAAGGGCUGCGUGGGGCAAGAGGAGGGGCACAGGAUUGAGAAGAUUAAAGCUUUUCAUGUUUAUUACGUAAUCAUUGAGCAUCGUCCAUAGGUGAGUACAGCUAAACCUGCAGGGAUGACAAAACACCAUUAUUAUUAUUAUUUUUUACAGUUCUUACCCUCUCCCCUAAAAUGCAGAGUUAUUUGGCAUAAAGGUUUACAUAAAGAAGUUAUUGCGUUUGGGUAAAAGUAAAACUCCAAUCUACAAAUUCACCUCCCUCUCUUUCAAAAUUUUGUCUCCAACUUCAGACCCUUCUCAUCCACACUGACAAAUGGUGAAGAACGACUUGUCUCCAUCAGCUGGGAACCGCCAGCGGUGUCUUUGUGCGUGCGUCCGUCAGCACGGGAGGAAGGUUACAGGGAUCAUCACUCAGGCGUCCUCACUGGACUAAAGCCUGGGAACCAGACCAAUGGGGACCAUUCACAUCCAGCAAAUGGGAACCAGACCAAUGGGGACCAUUCACAUCCAGCAAAUGGAUCCCGGUACUCCGAAACUGGAACCAGAGUCUCUCGCUUGGUGUCUUGUAUUUUUAGAUAGUAGUUAGUUAGUUUUUUUUUUUUUUUCGUAUUGGUCUUUUUGUCUCUUUUCUGGAAAACCUACAUAUAAGAAGAUGAAGAUAUAAGAAGUGGUGCUGGGUAAUUAACGGAAUAUCAUCACGUAUAUUAUUUACAUGAUGAUUUAAAUACCUUGGUUAUUAUUGUCUAUAGCAAAUUUUUCAACCUUUAAUUGCAUUGCAUCCAUUUGGAAUUUGGAAACAAACCCCAUUAUGUGCACAAGCGCUGCUAGUUGGAGAGUUAAAAAAAAAAAGAGAAAACACUUGUUAUCUUGAAGGCACCGUGGUAUACGUUUCCCAUCCUUCCCGGGGCUGACAGCUCCUUUUCACAUCCAAAAUGAUGACGGUGUAUUAUCCACAGUCUCCUAA
ensembl:lncRNA